rnacentral:rRNA from 1 species
AACUCUUAGUAGUAGAUCACUCGACUCGUGUCUCGAUGAAGAAGCUGCAAGAAUUAAUGUGAAUUACAGGACACAUUGAUCUUAGACGCUUUGAAUGCCCUUGUGGCCCUGGAUUCCUCCUGGGGCUACACCUGCCUAGGCGUAA